GACAAGAUGGCCGAGUGGUUAAGGCGUGUGCCUAGAAAGCACAUGGGAUUUCCCGCGCAGGUUCAAAUCCUGCUCUUGUCG
rfam:Conidiobolus coronatus NRRL 28638 unplaced genomic scaffold CONCOscaffold_22, whole genome shotgun sequence.